UGGCGGCGCCCAUGGGGAACUUCCGGUUCGCGCCACUCUCAAUAUGGCGGCGCCCUUGCGGAGAGACUUACGGUUCCACCAAGAUGGCGGCGCCCAUGAGCUGCCGCUCUUCUCUUUUCAAUAUGGCGGAUUCCGUUUGGCGGGUUUAGGUUUGCGUAGUACGUCAGCGUCGCGUCACGUGGGUCAAAAUCAACCAAUCGGAGCGCACUGCCGGGGCGGGUCCGCCAUUGGCGGGAGAUCCUCAGCGAGUCCCAUGGAAGCUCCGAAGCGCCCGGGAGCUCCCGGGGGUCCCCCCGGGGGUCCCAAAAAAUUCCGGGGGGGUCCCAAAGCCCCGUCCCAGUUUGAGGAGGAAUUGGCCCAACUGGGAGAACUGGAGGAGCUGGAGGAGGAGCUGGAAACGGCCGAGGGGCCCCCCCCGGACCCCCAGAGCCAGCCCAGCGGUGAGAUUGGGGAAAAUUCCCGGGAUUUUGGGUCAUUUGGGCUGUUCUUUAAUUUAUUUGGGUUAUUUGAGGUGAUUUUGGGGCUGUUUUGGGGUGAGCUGAGGUGAUUUUGGGGUUGUUUUUGGGGUUAUUUUGGGUGUUAUUUAAUUUAUUUGGGUUAUUUGAGGUGUUUUUGGGGCUGUUUUGGGGUGAGUUGAGGUGAUUUUGGGGUUGUUUUGAUGUUAUUUAAUUUAUUUGGGUUAUUUGAGGUGUUUUUGGGGCUGUUUUGGGUUGAUUUUGGGGGGAUUUGGGGUUAUUUUGGUGUUAUUUGGGUUAUUUGAGGUGAUUUUGGGGCUGUUUUGGGGUGAGUUGAGGUGAUUUUGGGGUGAUUUUGGGUCAUUUUGGGUGUUAUUUAAUUUAUUUGGGUUAUUUGAGGUGAUUUUUGGGGCUGUUUUGGGGUGAUUUAGGGUUGUUUUGGGUGUUUUUUUUCCUGAUUUCGGGUGUUUUUUAGACGUUUUCAGUUUGUUUUGGGGGAUUUUGGGUGUUUUUUGCUGUUUUGGGCUGGUUUUUGGCCAUUUCCUGCCUGUUUUUGGGUGAUUUUGGGCUGAUUUUGGCUCUUUUCCCCCCCAGGGUCCCUCUUUGUGGGGGAGGUGCCCCCCAAGUGGCGCCGCCCCGCCCCUCCCCCGCAGCCCCCCGAAACUCUCACCUUCCUGNNNNNNNNNNNNNNNNNNNNGCUCCGAAGCGCCCGGGAGCUCCCGGGGGUCCCCCCGGGGGUCCCAAAAAAUUCCGGGGGGGUCCCAAAGCCCCGUCCCAGUUUGAGGAGGAAUUGGCCCAACUGGGAGAACUGGAGGAGCUGGAGGAGGAGCUGGAAACGGCCGAGGGGCCCCCCCCGGACCCCCAGAGCCAGCCCAGCGGUGAGAUUGGGGAAAAUUCCCGGGAUUUUGGGUCAUUUGGGCUGUUCUUUAAUUUAUUUGGGUUAUUUGAGGUGAUUUUGGGGGGAUUUGGGGUUAUUUUGUGGUGAUUUUGGGUCAUUUGGGGUGUUCUUUAAUUUAUUUGGGUUAUUUGAGGUGUUUUUGGGGCUGUUUUGGGGUGAGUGGAGGUGAUUUUGGUGUGAUUUGGGGUGAUUUU
ensembl:lncRNA